CUCUCGGCAACGGAUAUCUAGGCUCUCGCAUCGAUGAAGAACGUAGCGAAAUGCGAUACUUGGUGUGAAUUGCAGAAUCCCGCGAAUCAUCGAGUUUUUGAACGCAAGUUGCGCCCGAAGCCAUUCGGCUGAGGGCACGUCUGCCUGGGUGUCACGCAUCGUUGCC
rnacentral:rRNA from 1 species